GACGAACGCUGGCGGCGUGCUUAACACAUGCAAGUCGAGCGGUAAGGCCCUUCGGGGUACACGAGCGGCGAACGGGUGAGUAACACGUGGGUGAUCUGCCUCGCACUCUGGGAUAAGCCUGGGAAACUGGGUCUAAUACCGGAUAUGACCAUGGGAUGCAUGUCUUGUGGUGGAAAGGUUUACUGGUGCGAGAUGGGCCCGCGGCCUAUCAGCUUGUUGGUGGGGUAACGGCCUACCAAGGCGACGACGGGUAGCCGACCUGAGAGGGUGAUCGGCCACACUGGGACUGAGACACGGCCCAGACUCCUACGGGAGGCAGCAGUGGGGAAUAUUGCACAAUGGGCGGAAGCCUGAUGCAGCGACGCCGCGUGAGGGAUGACGGCCUUCGGGUUGUAAACCUCUUUCGACAGGGACGAAGCGCAAGUGACGGUACCUGUAGAAGAAGCACCGGCCAACUACGUG
rnacentral:rRNA from 1 species